GUGGAAUUCCAGCAUCCUGCUUCCUGCAUCCAGGAUGGCAUCACUAGGUGUAUCCAUCACGGUCCCCUCCGGUGGAGCUCAAGCCUUGCUGUGACGUGGAGCAGGCUGAUGAAGGACAACCUGAUGGCCACUAUAUAUCUUGGGUGAAUAAUCCAGAUAAAUGUUGAAUCUAGGCGCGGCAGGUUACAUUGUUCAGGAUUUUGCAAGCAGUCAGCUAGGGUAAAUGGAGAGUAGUGCAUGUGUCCACCCUGGAUUGGUGAGCGAUCAAUUUUUUUGCUACAACAUCCACGACUGUAAAUUUGAAGCGUCGGAGCCUACCUUGUGGUCAUGUACUGCAAGACACAUGCAAUGUCUACUGCAAGAAGCAGAGAGAAAGGGUGGAGCAUGGUGGUUAAUCUUUCCCGUGUUUGUUCUUCUGUUCUCUUAUCCAAUCUUCAGCCCUGGGAGGGGCGUUUCUUCACAUUUCCGUUGCAAGGUUUAGGUUGGUCAAUCUAAUGUGUCUAUCUGCACUCUCCAGCCUUCAAAUUCGACCAGUGUUCAUGGCUGACUGAAGAUAUGACGGUGCACGAAACCUAGAAGAGUAGUAAUGCAAGCAAUGUUGGUGAAAGAUUUCGUACCUGAAGGGUCUCAGAUGAAUGUUGUUGUGCGCGUUUCCCAGAUCUGGGAGACCAUUGAUCAACAACAAAAUGUCUAUGAACUGGAGUUCAUUGUCGUUGACCAACUACUACUUUCUCAACAUUGAGAUACUCGAUCCCUCCAUCAUUACCUACACAAGAGAUCUAAGCAGUUAGCCUGGCCUUAUCAUCUAAUUAGUUAUCAAUACUUACUCAUCCUUUAGAUAGGGAAAACUAUAAUAGUAUAUAUCAUCUGAGCUCAUUUAAUUAUCUAUUAGUGUUUGAUCUACUCUCAACUGGCUUUACUUUUCAAUAUAUUACAGCUAACUUAAUAUUUA